rnacentral:misc_RNA from 1 species
GAUGAAGAACGUAGCGAAAUGCGAUAAGUAGUGUGAAUUGCAGGAUUCAGUGAAUCAUCGAAUCUUUGAACGCACAUUGCGCCCCUUGGUAUCCCGAGGGGCAUGCCUGUUCGAGCGUCAUUUCACCACUCAAGCCUGGCUUGGUGUUGGGCGACGUCCUCUUUGGGGACGCGCCUCGAAACGCUCGGCGGCGUGGCACCGGCUUUAAGCGUAGCAGAAUCUUUCGCUUUGGAAGUCGGGGCCCCGUCUGCCGGAAGACCUGCUCGCAAGGUUGACCUCGGAUCAGGCAGGGAUACCCGCUGAACUUAAGCAUAUCAAUAAGCGGAGGA